UGUCUCUUAGACUGUUCAUUUUUAUUCACUCUUUUUUUCUGCUCCUGAAAGUGAAUUUUUUCUUUUUCUUUUCUUUUCUUUUUUUUUUUUUUUUUUUGCAGAGACAGGGUCUUGCUAUAUUGUCCAUGCUGGUCUUGAACUCUUGGCUUCAAGUGAUUCUACCACUCCAACCUCCCAAAGGAUUACAGGCAUGAGCUACUGCACCUAGCCUAAAAAUUUAGAAGAUGUGGAGAAGCAUGAGGAAGAAAAUGAAAAUCACCCUUGUUCACAUUUGUGUUCCAAAUUGGUCCACCUCUAAGGCUCUACAGGAGUGGUUCUCAAGCUUCAGCUUAUUGGCCCCACUCCCAGGGUUUCUGAUUCAGUAGAUCUCAGGUAAGGACCAAGAACAUACAUUUCCCCUGGGUAAUGAGGAGGUUGCUGCUGAGCCAGCAGUUACACUUUCAG
rnacentral:lncRNA from 1 species